ensembl:misc_RNA 7SK 7SK RNA
GAAUGUAAAGGCUAUCUGGCUGCGACAUCUGUCACCUCAUUGAUCGCCAGGGUUGACUCGGCUGAUCUGGCUGGCUAGGUAGGUGUCCCCUUUCCCCCUCACCGCAGCUUCAGGAGGGAUGCACCUGGAGCUGUGCUGCCCUGCUAGAACCUCAAAACAAGCUCUCAAGAAAAAAAAAAACAUAAUUCUCAAAAGUAUAACUUUUGUGAACACAUCAGAGAGUAGAUGUUAUAGGACAGCUGGGUAUAAAAUAGAAGGAAUGACAGUUAUUCUCAGGGUGAGCCAGGAUGAACACUGGCUCAGCCCUGG